UAACUCCGUGCCAGCAGCCGCGGUAAUACGGAGGAUGCGAGCGUUAUCCGGAUUUAUUGGGUUUAAAGGGUGCGUAGGCGGAUCGAUAAGUUAGUGGUGAAAACCUGCAGCUUAACUGUAGACUUGCCGUUGAUACUGUUGGUCUUGAGUAUGGUCAAGGUAGGCGGAAUGUGUAAUGUAGCGGUGAAAUGCUUAGAUAUUACACAGAACACCGAUUGCGAAGGCAGCUUACUGGACCAUCACUGACGCUGAUGCACGAAAGCGUGGGGAUCGAACAGGAUUAGAUACCCUGGUAGUCCACGCCGUAAACGAUGAUCACUCGCUGUUAGCGAUACACAGUUAGCGGCUAAGCAAAAGCAUUAAGUGAUCCACCUGGGGAGUACGGCCGCAAGGCUGAAACUCAAAGGAAUUGACGGGGGCCCGCACAAGCGGAGGAACAUGUGGUUUAAUUCGAUGAUACGCGAGGAACCUUACCUGGGCUUAAAUGUAGAGUGCAUUCUGCCGAAAGGCGGAUUUUCUUCGGAACUCUUUGCAAGGUGCUGCAUGGUUGUCGUCAGCUCGUGCCGUGAGGUGUCGGGUUAAGUCCUAUAACGAGCGCAACCCUUAUCGUUAGUUGCCAGCGGGUAAAGCCGGGAACUCUAGCGAAACUGCCGGUGUAAACCGAGAGGAAGGUGGGGAUGACGUCAAAUCAGCACGGCCCUUAUGUCCAGGGCUACACACGUGUUACAAUGGCCGGUACAGAGGGGAGCUAUGCUGUGAGGCAAUGCGAAUCUCAAAAGCCGGUCUCAGUUCGGAUCGGAGUCUGCAACUCGACUCCGUGAAGCUGGAUUCGCUAGUAAUCGCGCAUCAGCCAUGGCGCGGUGAAUACGUUCCCGGGCCUUGUACACACCGCCCGU
rnacentral:rRNA from 1 species